rnacentral:lncRNA from 1 species
AAUAAACAUUUGCAUUGCAAAAGCAGGUGAACCAUAAAGUAAAUAGCAUUAUUAAAUAAGUAAAAAGGUCAGGUAUAUAGUAUAAUAUAUAAUAUAAUAAGUGUAAAACGUUAAAUACAAAAUAUCUAUACAUAUCAAAUGUUAGACGAUAAAAGUACUAUAAAAAGUAAAAUGUGCACUAUUUAUAAAAAUUACAAAAAUCCAAGUAUCAUGCAUAUACUUAAAUUACAGAUACUCAAAAUACACAGUGUUUACAUCAUGGAGGAUGUGUGCAAUAUAGACAUUAUUGUGUCGGUCAUAGCUCUCAUUGGCGGGCCAAAUUUUCUGGGCGGGCAAGGCAGAGAAAGGGGAGGUAACUUGGCCCCUUAUGAAGACAUAUGGGGCCAAAAUCUGAGCUUUCAUUUUUCAAUAGGCGGAGCAGAAUACCUAGUGCUCGUUUUACACCUAACGCCAUUUCUAGAUACUGGGGCACCAUAGGCAGGCUAGGGGAACUCAUGUUAAUGUUAGAAAAAUGUUCAUGCCAUGGGACCUUUAAAUGUGUUAACAGAUUGUGACGUACUCAGCUCCUCUGGCAGGCUGUUCCAGAGGGGGGGGGGCCAUAGGUAACUAAGAGGCCAGUGCCAGAGGACCUGAGUGAUCUAGGUGGAGCACCAUGAAGAGAUGCUCCUGAGGAACCCAUAACCUGAAACAGCCAUUUGAGGUUGUUUCCAUGUUCCAUAACUAAUAUAAAUAACUGCUCUCUCGUAGAAAUGUUGUAUCAAAAGUAAACUGUUGCGAUACAAAUGCACACCUUCAGAUGACCAAAGUGUCCGUCGCUCAACCGAAAGACGGUACGUUCAGCUGUACAGCAGCAUCACGACGGGGACAGGACAAAUAGGCACCGCUUCGAUCCAAACUAUCAGAAUCAGGUUCUGCUUGUUGACCAUGACCAUUCCUACAGUUUUUAGUUUUGGUAAAUUGGUAAAUAUUAACUCCAAAUGAUAAAAUCAAGAGAACAAAAACAAUAAUAAAAGAAACACCUAUGGCCUUCCAUGUACCAUUCCCGAGGACCUCUUCAUGAUCGCCGGUCAACCAAUGGCCUGAACCAUAGGAGAGGGGAGAGAGGAGAGUGUUAUUCUCAGGACCAUUAACAUGUUUCUGUGCUCAACAGUCCCAUCAAAACAGCUGACUGGAAACACUCACCAAACACUUGGAUGGUGUCUCUGACCGCAGGGUGGACGCCUUGCUGCCGGGCCAGACAGGUGUAGCUGCCUGGCUCGGUCACCUUCACCGUCUGACUGAUGGAGUAGCGGCCGUCGCUGUCUGAGGAGGCGGCCGGCGGUGCUUCUUCUGCAGGGAUCACAGUUCCGUUGGGGGUCUGCCACUCCAGACCGCUGGGCUGGGGCUGGCCUCCUCUGGAGACGCAGGACAGCCGCAUCCAGCCGGAGGAUGGGGGAGCCUCUACCACCUCCACACUCAACAGAGACUUCACCACUGUGGGCAGGAGGGCGUUAAGUCGUUUAAAUUGAGGGCGUUGAGCAGACGCUUUUAUCCAAAGCGACUUACAGUAAGUACAUUUGUCAGGAUAAAGAGAAACAACAAUCUAUCAGUGGUACAGUAGGGAUGUUCAUAGAAUCGAGUGCCAAGCACUCACAAUCGUUAGGUUAACCCAUUCCCCGUGCGCAACAAAGGUAGCUAGGAUAAGAUGCUACACAAUGCUAAGAACGUUUUUUAAGUGCGAGGACAUACAACAUUCAAUAAGUGCGUACAUUAAAAGUUGUAUCAGCGAUUCUACGCCAGAACAUAAAUGGUCACAUUCAUCUGAUCUUUCCUCACAACCCGCUGGUUUUGCGCUGCGUUCAUGAUAGGUUUUACUGGAAGCACGAAACGCGGAAGGGAGGGGUGAGCGGGCUCUGUUUGUUUGGGAUCUUGCUUCAAAUACCAACAGAAGUGACGUCGCCCAACAUCGCUGAUACAACCUUUAAGUGCCAGGACGUACACAACGUAAAACCUACAAUAAGUGCACAACCAUGUGUAGCAUACUGACCAAACUAAGAGUCGAACUAAACUUAUUUAAGUUCUGCCAUCUUGUGGCUUCGGAAAAUACGAUUUCUGAAGCCCGGUGUACCAGCCGACCCACCUGGACCCUGACCCAACACCUACCCCUCUGCCCAGGCCCUAACACGAGACCUACCCCUCUGCCCCGGCCCUAACACGAGACCUACCCCUCUGCCCCGGGCUGGACCCACCUGGACCCUGACCCAAUAUCUACCCCUCUGCCCAGGACUCUGACCCAAGACCUACCCCUCUUCCCCGGCCCUAACACGAGACCUACCCCCCUGCCCCGGCCCUGACCCACCUGGACUCUGACUCAACACCUACCCCCCUGCCCAGGACUUGAACCAGCCCUCGUCCGUGUGGUACAAAGACAAAGAACCCUUACGGUCAAAUUAAACUUAAGGUGCUGUAGGUGAGAGCUGAGAGCGAGAGACUUAAAAAAAACGGACCAAUCACUCACCUACAGUCAGCAGAAUAUCUCCGUAACUUUUGGUCAGUUUCGUAAGAAUUACGAACUUAUACACUCCACUGUCCGCCUGGGUCACACCGGACAGGACCACAGAGGCGUUACCGGCCUGCAGCCCCCCUGGGAGAAGGUGCACCCUGCCCACAUAAUGGGGGUCUUGUCCCUCCCGGCCGUUGUUGUAGUCCUUGCCCUGUAUAUAGAAGAACACCUCCUGCUUCCCUUUCUUCAAGUCAAACGCCUCAUCUGUCAGGUCCACCGGGGAAUCCAGAGCAAACGUUAGGGUGGCAUCUUCUCCCUCUCUGGGGAACACCUCAGUGAUGUCAGCACCUGCUAGAAAACACAAUUGAUGCAACAAGUGUCUCAAUAACUACGCUGUAAUGAGGCUCAGGGAACGCCCUCUACAAAAACAUUAUACUCACAGGUCAAAGCAACGCAGGUCCAAAUAGCACACAGCAGUACGAGGGCGAGACACGCAACUGACAUCUUUCAGUGAUACAGCUCUAAAGCCC